UUUCCGUAGGUGAACCUGCGGAAGGAUCAUUAUUGUAUAACCGAGGUGCGAGGGCUGUCGCUGACCCGAAAGGUCAUGCACGCCCGAGUGCCCUCACACACAUCCAUCUCACCCCUAUGUGCACCACCGCGUGGGUCCCCCUUGGGCUUGUUCGGAGGGGGGCUUACGUUUUCACACAAACUUUGUAUGCAGUGUAGAAUGUAUUUUUUGUUUUUGCGAUCACGCAAUCAAUACAACUUUCAACAACGGAUCUCUUGGCUCUC
rnacentral:misc_RNA from 1 species